rnacentral:rRNA from 1 species
UCAUUGGUACCUAUAAUAAAUCAGUACAACUUUCAGCAACGGAUCUCUUGGCUCUCGCAUCGAUGAAGAACGCAGCGAAAUGCGAUAAGUAAUGUGAAUUGCAGAAUUCAGUGAAUCAUCGAAUCUUUGAACGCAUCUUGCGCUCCUUGGUAUUCCGA